AAAAACUUCUGGCUUUUACAUAAAAUUUUUCAGGAUGGAGUUAGGCCUGGACUUGUCAUCUCUGUUGUGGGACUUGCAAGAAUAUGUUCGUGUUCAGUCGGUAAAUGAAAAUAAACUAAAGUAACAGUAUCAGUGCCCAGGCCACAGAAAUACAAGGAAAUCCACAUGCAGGCUAGGAACAAUGACUAUUCUAGUAGCAACAAGGACCCCUAAAGCUAAAUUAUGGCCUCUAACAUUUCCCAGUAUAAGGAGGUUCAUGCCAUCAUCUGCAAGAAUCCAACUCUCCUGUCUCUAGAAGUUUCUUCUUUAAAUGUGCUAGCUACUACCUCUAGUAUAACAUUAAACAGUGGUAGAAUCAAUCUGGUAUCUUAGUAUUUCCUCAUUAAGUAAGAUGCCCGCUUUGGGACAGAGACAUUCAUACAUAUUCAUGGAAAAUAACUAUUAUUUAGUUAUUUUUUCUUAAAUGUGUCACACAAUGUUGAAUUCUGUUCAGGGCUUUUUUGUCAUC